rnacentral:rRNA from 1 species
CCUGGGAAACUGGGUCUAAUACCGGAUAGGACCGCACUUUAAUGUGUGUGGUGGAAAGUUUUUUCGGUGUAGGAUGAGCCCGCGGCCUAUCAGCUUGUUGGUGGGGUAAUGGCCUACCAAGGCGGCGACGGGUAGCCGGACUGAGAGGUUGGUCGGCCACAUUGGGACUGAGAUACGGCCCAGACUCCUACGGGAGGCAGCAGUGGGGAAUAUUGCACAAUGGGCGCAAGCCUGAUGCAGCGACGCCGCGUGGGGGAUGACGGCCUUCGGGUUGUAAACUCCUUUCGCCAGGGACGAAGCGUUUUGUGACGGUACCUGGAGAAGAAGCACCGGCUAACUACGUGCCAGCAGCCGCGGUAAUACGUAGGGUGCAAGCGUUGUCCGGAAUUACUGGGCGUAAAGAGCUCGUAGGUGGUUUGUCACGUCGUCUGUGAAAUUCCACAGCUUAACUGUGGGCGUGCAGGCGAUACGGGCUGACUUGAGUACUGUAGGGG